AAUCAUGCUCAUUGGUCGAAAGCCUGACGCAGCCAUGCCGUGUGAUUGAAGAUGGUCUUAUGAUUGUAAAUUUCUUUCUCCGGGGACGAUAAUAACGGUACCCCGAGAAGCAGAUCCUGCUAACCUCUUGCCAGCAGCCGCGGUAAUACGAAGGGUGCUAGCGUUGCUCGGAAUUACUGCGCGUAAAGGGCGCGUAGGUGGACAUUUAAGUCAGGGGUGAAAUCCCAGAGCUCAAAUCUGGAACUGCCUUUGAUACUGGGUGUCUUGAGUGUGAGAGAGGUAUGUGGAACUCCGAGUGUAGAGGUGAAAUUCGUAGAUAUUCGGAAGAACACCAGUGGCGAAGGCGACAUACUGGCUCAUUACUGACGCUGAGGCGCGAAAGCGUGGGGAGCAAACA
rnacentral:rRNA from 1 species